UUGAACGCUGGCGGCGGCCUAACACAUGCAAGUCGGGCGGAGCGGCGGACGGGUGCGUAACGCGUGAGCAACCUGCCUAUGACAGUGGGAUAGCCUCGGGAAACCGGGAUUAAUACCGCAUAGUCAUAGAUGGGCUCGCGUCUGAUUAGCUAGUUGGUGAGAUAACAGCCCACCAAGGCGACGAUCAGUAGCCGGUCUGAGAGGAUGAACGGCCACAUUGGAACUGAGACACAGUCCAAACGCCUACGGGAGGCAGCAGUGGGGAAUAUUGCACAAUGGGGUAAACCCUGAUGCAGCGACGCCGCGUGAACGAAGAAGGUAUUCGUAUCGUAAAGUUCUGUCCUAUGGGAAGCAGUACCAUAGAAGAAAGCACCGGCUAAAUACGUGCCAGCAGCCGCGGUAAUAC
rnacentral:rRNA from 1 species